UACGAAGGGUGCAAGCGUUAAUCGGAAUUACUGGGCGUAAACGGUGCGUAGGCGGUUCGUUAAGUCUGUCGUGAAAUCCCCGGGCUCAACCUGGGAAUGGCGAUGGAUACUGGCGAGCUAGAGUGUGUCAGAGGAUGGUGGAAUUCCCGGUGUAGCGGUGAAAUGCGUAGAGAUCGGGAGGAACAUCAGUGGCGAAGGCGGCCAUCUGGGACAACACUGACGCUGAAGCACGAAAGCGUGGGGAGCAAACAGG
rnacentral:rRNA from 1 species